AGUGAACGCUGGCGGUAGACCUAACACAUGCAAGUCGAACGGCAGCACAGUAAGAGCUUGCUCUUACGGGUGGCGAGUGGCGGACGGGUGAGGAAUACAUCGGAAUCUACUUUUUCGUGGGGGAUAACGUAGGGAAACUUACGCUAAUACCGCAUACGACCUACGGGUGAAAGCAGGGGAUCUUCGGACCUUGCGCGAUUGAAUGAGCCGAUGUCGGAUUAACUAGUUGGCGGGGUAAAGGCCCACCAAGGCGACGAUCCGUAGCUGGUCUGAGAGGAUGAUCAGCCACACUGGAACUGAGACACGGUCCAGACUCCUACGGGAGGCAGCAGUGGGGAAUAUUGGACAAUGGGCGCAAGCCUGAUCCAGCCAUACCGCGUGGGUGAAGAAGGCCUUCGGGUUGUAAAGCCCUUUUGUUGGGAAAGAAAAGCAGCAGGUUAAUACCCCGCUGUUCUGACGGUACCCAAAGAAUAAGCACCGGCUAACUUCGUG
rnacentral:rRNA from 1 species